rnacentral:rRNA from 1 species
CACGUAGGCACCAAGCGUUGUCCGGAUUUAUUGGGCGUAAAGAGCUCGUAGGCGGUUCGGUAAGUCGGGUGUGAAACUUUGGGCUCAACCCAAAGCGUGCAUUCGAUACUGCCGUGACUAGAGUUCGGUAGGGGAGCGGGGAAUUCCUAGUGUAGCGGUGAAAUGCGCAGAUAUUAGGAGACACCGGUGGCGAAGGCGCCGCUCUGGACCGAAACUGACGCUAGGAGCGAA